rnacentral:rRNA from 1 species
AGAGUUUGAUCCUGGCUCAGAUUGAACGCUGGCGGCACGCCUACACAUGCAAGUCGAGCGGUAACAUGAUCAGUAGCGAUACAGAUUGAUGACGAGCGGCGGACGGGUGAGGAAGACGUAGGAACUUACCCUUCAGCGGGGGACAACCAAGGGAAACUUUGGCUAAUACCGCAUAAACUCGAGAGAGGAAAGUUGCCUUGAAAAGGGUGACGCUGAAGGAGAGGCCUGCGGCCGAUUAGCUAGUUGGAGAGGUAAAAGCUCGCCAAGGCGAUGAUCGGUAACUGGUCUGAGAGGACGGCCAGUCACACUGGGACUGAGACACGGCCCAGACUCCUACGGGAGGCAGCAGUGGGGAAUCUUGGACAAUGGGGGGAACCCUGAUCCAGCGAUGCCGCGUGGGUGAAGAAGGCCUUCGGGUUGUAAAGCCCUUUAGGAUGGGAAGAAGUGUAUAUUUUGAUAAGAGAGAUGCAUUGACGGUACCAUCAGAAUAAGCACCGGCAAACUCUGUGCCAGCAGCCGCGGUAAUACAGAGGGUGCGAGCGUUAAUCGGAGUAACUGGGCGUAAAGGGCGCGUAGGCGGUUAUGCAAGUGUGAUGUGAAAGCCCCGGGCUUAACCUGGGAAGUGCAUCGCAAACAAGAUAACUGGAGUACAGGAGAGGGUGGCGGAAUUUCCGGUGUAGCGGUGAAAUGCGUAGAGAUCGGAAGGAACGUCGAUGGCGAAGGCAGCCACCUGGCCUGAUACUGACGCUGAGGCGCGAAAGCGUGGGGAGCGAACAGGAUUAGAUACCCCCGUAGUCC